rnacentral:rRNA from 1 species
UACGUAGGGUGCAGGCGUUAAUCGGAAUUACUGGGCGUAAAGCGCACGUAGGCGGAUUUGUAAGUCAGGGGUGAAAUCCCGGGGCUCAACCUCGGAACUGCCUUUGAUACUGCAAAUCUCGAGUCCGGAAGAGGUGAGUGGAAUUCCUAGUGUAGAGGUGAAAUUCGUAGAUAUUAGGAAGAACACCAGUGGCGAAGGCGGCUCACUGGUCCGGUACUGACGCUGAGGUGCGAAAGCGUGGGGAGCAAACAGG